rnacentral:pre_miRNA from 1 species
ACACGAGCAGUUCGUAACAAGGCCUCCCAUUUAGGUGUUUUGUUCGUUCGGCUCGCGUUA